rnacentral:rRNA from 1 species
GGAACCUGAAAACCUAGUCUCAGUUCGGAUCGGAGCUGNAACCCGACUCCGUGAAGCUGGAUUCGCUAGUAAUCGCGCAUCAGCCAUGGCGCGGUGAAUACGUUCCCGGGCCUUGUACACACCGCCCGUCAAGCCAUGGGAGCCGGGAGUGCCUGAAGUCCGUGACCGCGAGGAGCGGCCUAGGGUAAGACCGGUGACUGGGGCUAAGUCGUAACAAGGUAAC